AGUGAACGCUGGCGGUAGGCCUAACACAUGCAAGUCGAACGGCAGCACAGUAAGAGCUUGCUCUUACGGGUGGCGAGUGCGGACGGGUGAGGAAUACAUCGGAAUCUACUUUUUCGUGGGGGAUAACGUAGGGAAACUUACGCUAAUACCGCAUACGACCUACGGGUGAAAGCAGGGGAUCUUCGGACCUUGCGCGAUUGAAUGAGCCGAUGUCGGAUUAGCUAGUUGGCGGGGUAAAGGCCCACCAAGGCGACGAUCCGUAGCUGGUCUGAGAGGAUGAUCAGCCACACUGGAACUGAGACACGGUCCAGACUCCUACGGGAGGCAGCAGUGGGGAAUAUUGGACAAUGGGCGCAAGCCUGAUCCAGCCAUACCGCGUGGGUGAAGAAGGCCUUCGGGUUGUAAAGCCCUUUUGUUGGGAAAGAAAAGCAGCAGGUUAAUACCCCGCUGUUCUGACGGUACCCAAAGAACAAGCACCGGCUAACUUCGUG
rnacentral:rRNA from 1 species